rnacentral:rRNA from 1 species
GAUGAACGCUGGCGGCGUGCCUAAUACAUGCAAGUCGAGCGAACGGACGAGAAGCUUGCUUCUCUGAUGUUAGCGGCGGACGGGUGAGUAACACGUGGAUAACCUACCUAUAAGACUGGGAUAACUUCGGGAAACCGGAGCUAAUACCGGAUAAUAUUUUGAACCGCAUGGUUCAAAAGUGAAAGACGGUCUUGCUGUCACUUAUAGAUGGAUCCGCGCUGCAUUAGCUAGUUGGUAAGGUAACGGCUUACCAAGGCAACGAUGCAUAGCCGACCUGAGAGGGUGAUCGGCCACACUGGAACUGAGACACGGUCCAGACUCCUACGGGAGGCAGCAGUAGGGAAUCUUCCGCAAAGGGCGAAAGCCUGAAGGAGCAACGCCGCGUGAGUGAUGAAGGUCUUCGGAUCGUAAAACUCUGUUAUUAGGGAAGAACAUAUGUGUAAGUAACUGUGCACAUCUUGACGGUACCUAAUCAGAAAGCCACGGCUAACUACGUG